rnacentral:rRNA from 1 species
UACGUAGGGUCCGAGCGUUGUCCGGAAUUAUUGGGCGUAAAGGGCUCGUAGGCGGUUUGUCGCGUCGGGCGUGAAAACUCAGGGCUCAACCCUGAGCGUGCUUCCGAUACGGGCAGACUAGAGGUAUGCAGGGGAGAACGGAAUUCCUGGUGUAGCGGUGGAAUGCGCAGAUAUCAGGAGGAACACCGGUGGCGAAGGCGGUUCCCUGGGCAUUACCUGACGCUGAGGAGCGAAAGCAUGGGGAGCGAACAGG